rnacentral:rRNA from 1 species
GACGAACGCUGGCGGCGUGCUUAACACAUGCAAGUCGAACGGAAAGGCCCUGCUUUUGUGGGGUGCUCGAGUGGCGAACGGGUGAGUAACACGUGAGUAACCUGCCCUUGACUUUGGGAUAACUUCAGGAAACUGGGGCUAAUACCGGAUAGGAGCCCCUGCUGCAUGGUGGGGGUUGGAAAGUUUCGGCGGUUGGGGAUGGACUCGCGGCUUAUCAGCUUGUUGGUGGGGUAGUGGCUUACCAAGGCUUUGACGGGUAGCCGGCCUGAGAGGGUGACCGGCCACAUUGGGACUGGGAUACGGCCCAGACUCCUACGGGAGGCAGCAGUGGGGAAUAUUGCACAAUGGGCGGAAGCCUGAUGCAGCAACGCCGCGUGCGGGAUGACGGCCUUCGGGUUGUAAACCGCUUUCGCCUGUGACGAAGCGUGAGUGACGGUAAUGGGUAAAGAAGCACCGGCUAACUGCGUG